rnacentral:rRNA from 1 species
UACGUAGGGGGCGAGCGUUGUCCGGAAUUACUGGGCGUAAAGCGCUUGUAGGCGGUCCACCAAGUUUGGGGUGACAGUUGCCGACUUAAUCGGCAAAGUGCCUCAAAGACUGGCGGACUUGAGGGCCACAGAGGGACAUGGAACUCCAGGUGUAGUGGUGAAAUGCGUAGAUAUCUGGAAGAACACCAAAGGCGAAGGCAGGGUCCUGGGUGGUCGCUGACGCUGAGAGGCGAAAGCGAGGGGAGCGAACGGG